AAUAGAUACCCGGUAGUCCACGCCGUAAACGAUGGAUGCUAGCUGUUAGGAGUAUCGACCCUUCUAGUAGCGAAGCUAACGCGUUAAGCAUCCCGCCUGGGGAGUACGAACGCAAGUUUAAAACUCAAAGGAAUUGACGGGGACCCGCACAAGUGGUGGAGCGUGUUCUUUAAUUCGAAGCUAAGCGAAGAACCUUACCAGGGCUUGACAUCCUUGGAAUCUUUCCGAAAGGAGAGAGUACUUUAUUGGACCAAGUGACAGGUGUUGCAUGGCCGUCGUCAGCUCGUGUCGUGAGAUGUUUGGUUAAGUCCAUUAACGAGCGCAACCCUUAUGAUUAGUUGAAUUUUUCUAAUCAGACUGCCUCGGUAACGGGGAGGAAGGAGGGGAUGAUGUCAGGUCAUUAUUACCCUUACGUCCUGGGCUAGAAACGCGCUACAAUGGCCGGUACAAAGGGCAGCCAACCCGGCGAGGGGGAGCAAAUCCCAUCAAAACCGGUCCCAGUUCGGAUUGCAGGCUGAAACUCGCCUGCAUGAAGCCGGAAUCACUAGUAAUCGUAGGUC
rnacentral:rRNA from 1 species